UACGUAGGGUCCGAGCGUUGUCCGGAAUUACUGGGCGUAAAGAGCUCGUAGGUGGUUUGUCGCGUUGUUCGUGAAAACUCACAGCUCAACUGUGGGCGUGCGGGCGAUACGGGCAGACUAGAGGUAUGCAGGGGAGAACGGAAUUCCUGGUGUAGCGGUGAAAUGCGCAGAUAUCAGGAGGAACACCGGUGGCGAAGGCGGGUUGCUGGGCCGACACUGACGCUGAGGCGCGAAAGCCAGGGGAGCAAACGGG
rnacentral:rRNA from 1 species